AACGAACGCUGGCGGCAGGCUAAACACAUGCAAGUCGAACGCUCGUAGCAAUACGGGAGUGGCGGACGGGUGAGUAACGCGUGGGAACGUGCCCUGAGGUACGGAAUAACUGCGGGAAACUGCAGCUAAUACCGUAUGAGCCCCGCAAGGGGGAAAGAUUUAUCGCCUUAGGAGCGGCCCGCGUCGGAUUAGCUAGUUGGUGGGGUAACGGCUUACCAAGGCUUCGAUCCGUAGCUGGUCUGAGAGGACGAUCAGCCACACUGGGACUGAGACACGGCCCAGACUCCUACGGGAGGCAGCAGUGGGGAAUCUUGCGCAAUGGGGCAACCCUGACGCAGCCAUGCCGCGUGAAUGAUGAAGGCCUUAGGGUUGUAAAGUUCUUUUGCCCGUGACGAUGAUGACGGUAACGGGAGAAUAAGCUCCGGCUAACUUCGUGCCAGCCGCCGCCGUAACAC
rnacentral:rRNA from 1 species